UAAUUGCAUGAAAGGAGAAAAGGUUAGUAUUCCCCUUGAUAAGGAUGGAAGAGGGCUCAGUGGCCUUUAUAACACAUAUAUGGCUACUGCAUUGCCACCUACUCUGUAGCAUCUAACUAUCUGAUGAA